UACGAAGGGGGCUAGCGUUGCUCGGAAUCACUGGGCGUAAAGCGCACGUAGGCGGCUUGUUAAGUCAGGGGUGAAAUCCUGGAGCUCAACUCCAGAACUGCCUUUGAUACUGGCAAGCUUGGAGUCCGGGAGAGGUGAGUGGAACUGCGAGUGUAGAGGUGAAAUUCGUAGAUAUUCGCAAGAACACCAGUGGCGAAGGCGGCUCACUGGCCCGAUACUGACGCUGAGGCACGAAAGCGUGGGGAGCAAACAGG
rnacentral:rRNA from 1 species